AUUGAACGCUGGCGGCAGGCUUAACACAUGCAAGUCGAGCGAGCGGCGGACGGGUGAGUAAUGUCUGGGAAUCUGCCUGGUAGUGGGGGAUAACGUCCGGAAACGGGCGCUAAUACCGCAUACUAUCAGAUGAGCCUAGGUCGGAUUAGCUAGUUGGUGGGGUAAAGGCCUACCAAGGCGACGAUCCCUAGCUGGUCUGAGAGGAUGACCAGCCACACUGGAACUGAGACACGGUCCAGACUCCUACGGGAGGCAGCAGUGGGGAAUAUUGCACAAUGGGCGCAAGCCUGAUGCAGCCAUGCCGCGUGUAUGAAGAAGGCCUUCGGGUUGUAAAGUACUUUCAGCGAGGAGGCGUUACUCGCAGAAGAAGCACCGGCUAACUCCGUGCCAGCAGCCGCGGUAAUUC
rnacentral:rRNA from 1 species